GUCCCACCUGCAGAGUUUGCAAAGGUGAAUCCACUAGAUUGCAAUCUUAGAAUUGUUUGACACUUUAAGAUCUACUUUGUUAAAGAUAACAGAUUAAUAUUUUUUUCCCAACUACUAAACACUUACAAUAAUCUUAUGGGUCUCUUAUUAUGUGAAUUCAAGAAAACCAAUUGUCAUACCAGAACAUUUAUCAAUUGUGCAUAUAUUUACAUUAAAUUAAAUAAUCAAUGAAGAGAAUCCUAUUUGUGUUAUUUUUAUAAUGUAUCAUAUUUUUGUUUAGGUUACUUGUUAUAUAAUUUUAGAAUUCAAUGCUCUCAGUAAAGUUGAAAA
rnacentral:misc_RNA from 1 species